rnacentral:pre_miRNA from 1 species
CGGGAGAGGCCGGAUCCUGGGCUGUGUCCCCGGCGCCCUGUGCUCCGGAGCCUGCGCUGUUGGAUUCGCGCUCCCGGGCCGCGCAACCCCCU